GUGAAAUUAUUCAUUUAUAAUUUUUUGAAUUGAUGAAUUCUGCGUGAUAAUUUUUUUUUUUUUUUUUUCAGAGGAAUUGAAAUCAAUUCAUUGAUGAAGAGGGGUAUUUAUAAAUAGGAAUUCAAAUCAAUUCAUCGAUGAAGGGGUAUUUAUAAAUGUUUCCUUGUGAAUGAAUAACACAGUGGCCUUGGACAAAAUCACAUUUAUUCUAGACUGACAUUCAUCAAAUAUCAAUAAACUUA